rnacentral:misc_RNA from 1 species
GAUGAAGAACGUAGCGAAAUGCGAUAAGUAAUGUGAAUUGCAGAAUUCAGUGAAUCAUCGAAUCUUUGAACGCACAUUGCGCCCGCCAGUAUUCUGGCGGGCAUGCCUGUCCGAGCGUCAUUUCAACCCUCAUGCCCCUAGGGCGUGGUGUUGGGGAUCGGCCAAAGCCCGCGAGGGACGGCCGGCCCCUAAAUCUAGUGGCGGACCCGUCGUGGCCUCCUCUGCGAAGUAGUGAUAUUCCGCAUCGGAGAGCGAUGAGCCCCUGCCGUUAAACCCCCAACUUUCCAAGGUUGACCUCAGAUCAGGUAGGAAUACCCGCUGAACUUAAGCAUAUCAAUAAGCGGAGGA